CUGGCAUACAGCUGUAUGUCUCUGUGAAGGUGGUUGUGAUGAACGGCAUCCUGCUGAACAAGUACAAGUGCCGGCGAGGCAGCAACUCUCUGUUCAACGCCGUCCCUUCACAGCGAUGUGGGAUCAUGCCGUUCCAAAUUAUUUGUUGAUGAGCCAGACUGUGACUCGCGCGACCCGACCCGGCCCGUUCAGCCCACUGCGUUGUCGUCCUCCUCCCGGCCGAAGCCUGCUGCGCUCACCCCCAUUCUGCCGAGGCCUCCUGCGUCCACCCACCUCCAGCCGAGGCCUCCUGCUGCGUCCACCUAUGGCCCACCCCCUGUGUCGGCAGCACCCAUAAUGCUGGUCCUCCCCGCACAGCCACAGGCCCCCUCCGUCCUGUUGCGUGGGCCAUCCUGCACCCAGAGCUUUGUCCCUCCUGCACCAACAGUGAAGGCAUUCAUGCCUAACAAGUCCUCACGGCCAUGUGGGGCUUGCCACGUGCCAAACUGUGGUGGACAGCGGAAGAGGUACACCCCUUCCGAGGAAAAAGUGGCUGGAAGCAUGCAGAAAAUAUUUUCCUACUGUCCAUCCACUGGGAAGUCUACCACCUCUGGCUUCGACAAUGUGUUGUAUGACUACUUUGAACACUUUAAGAGUGUCGUGGAUGCAGAGUUGGAAAGGAGGACUGUGUAAAUAUGUGUGUGUGUGUGUGAAUAACUUACCUCUGUCAUGCUACUGUUCCUGUGCCAUCUGUAGGAGAGAGAAAGAGGUUUGUUUGUGUGUGUUUGUCUCUUUCUUUGUGUGUGUUUUUUAAAUGCUCUUUACAGUUUUACUUAAAGUUCUUUUGUUUGUUUUUUAUUUAUAUUGCUGUUAAAAUGCACUUUGUAGUAUCUGUUCUGGUCUAUGUUCAAUAUCAAGGCCAAUCUUUUUAACCUUAAUCAGUUCCAAUCUAACACAAUCAGUUUACAUACCCUUUAGUGGUUGUUCAUGUUCAGAUAAUGUGUUUCUGUCAUUAUCUGAACAUGUUGUUUGUUGUUUGUUUGUCUUUGUCAGCUUCAUGUCUUUGUGAUGUUUGUAUGUAUUUGUCUGCUUCAUGUUUAACAAAAGUUUGCUAAAGAAAACACAAAAAAACACAACAGAGAGGAACGGCUUGAGCCUUUAUUUGUUGAUUGGUCACCUGAGUCUUUGGAUAAUCAUGUUCAUUAUUGCACUUUAGCCUGUACAAGCCAAUUGUUAAUUUGUAUCUUAAGUACGUGUGUGUUUUUUAAUUGUUGAGUGUUUUUGAUUAUUAUUAAUGUUAUUUAUAUGUGCCUGUCCUUGUGAUGUGUGUAUGUCUGUCAGCUCCAUGUUUAACUAAAUGUUUGCAGAUGGUAGUAAAUGUUUGUCUCUCGUCUUGUCUCGUGUUCUCGCUCGUAGAUCUGUAACUUGUCGUGGUGAGCGAGCUUUAAACUAAACACAUCUUGUUUACUUGUGUUUUAUAUGCAUUGCCUUUUAAAUGAAACACAUUCUGGGUGAAAAAUAAAAGUUGUAAAAGUA